GAACAAUACUAUGAGCUGAAUUGU
rnacentral:siRNA from 1 species